CGUUACAUCUUUAAGCUGCCAAGACUUUGGCAGUGUCAUUUUAAACUGCCGAAGUAUACGAGUUGGAACACUCUUCCGACUGUUGGUAGAGCCUGUAAUUGUAAGUAUGUUCUUAAACUGUUGCUGUACCGAUAACAAGAAUCAGAUGCCACUGAUAGAGUCAAUCAGUGUAUUUAAAGUUUGCUCAAUUAAAUUACUGAAGUUAAUAUUUAAAAUUUCAGAUUUUCUUACGAGUAUAUAAAUAAUAACCCAUUAAAAACUGGUGGAUGUGUAGGUAGAACAUAAAUUCAAGCGGUAUUAGAUUUAUUGUAGGAACCUGUAAGAAUGUGUAUGACUCAUACUUACAGUUAAGUUCUGUCGUUUGUAUUUUAUUGUACAGUUUGGGUACACCUUGUCCAAAAUUUCAGAAUUCUCCGAAGUCUGAAACC
rnacentral:lncRNA from 1 species